CUGUGGGAUGUCAGGCUUGCCAGGUGCCAAACACUCUAUAAAAGCUAUUAGCAGUUCUAAUCACCAUACCAAGCAGCAAUGCCCACAGGAUUUGCAUGAUGCCUUGAACAAUCUCAGACUAUCUCUCCGUCUCCUUAUGGAAAAGACCUUGAAGUCCAACUUGAAGUUUUGUCUUCUGAACUGGGAAACUUAUGGACGUUGUUGUAGGGAGGAAGGUGGAAGAGAAGGGCAUGAAACCCCUUGAAAAGAAAGAACAGUGAUCUCUACCCUGCGUCUCUGGCCUGUUGGCAUCAGUGCAGGGAACCUCCUUGCUCCGAGACCCAGCAAAGGGCCCUUGUUUCCAAGGAGGCUUCCGAGAACUACUGGAAUCUGGAAACUACUGCUGGACCACCCAAACACAGAAUAACAGCUGAUGGCUGUUGUACAGCCAAUGGAUGAAGCACACCUGCUGAUCUGGAGAUUUUCAUGGCAAAGAUGAAUUAAACAU